AAGAUGGAGACAUUGUUCAGUACAAGAGAAGAUGUAACCCUGGGUCGGUGCAACCAGCAGCAGGACCAGGAAGUUCCUGUGGCUUCCACUACAAUUUGAUACAGAUGACAGUGAUAGCAGCAGUCAGGCACGUCAGUAAUUGAGCAACAGUUGUCAGCAUUGACAUUUGUGAGGUGACAUAUUGAAGCAGUGCUUGAGGUGACCUUGGACUCAGUGUAUCAGUUGCAUUCAGACUCUGAACAUGGCUGCAUCACUUUUGAUUUGUACCAAUAAAGAAAAAAGGGCUGUGUUUUAUUUUUUUAUGAGUGGAGGGUGUGAAAGGAGAUGGAAUUCACAGUUAUUUAUCUGCUGAAUACUGGGAUAACAUGUUACGUCAGCAGAAUGUGUGUAAGCUGAUUGAAAUGUUUAAGAAUGGCUGGACAAGUGAGACUGAUUAAGAGCACUUAGGCUGCUUGUGUACAUCAACCAGUGAUGAUAAACAGCAACAGGCCAGAGGCAUGAUACUUAGCAACAGAACAGCAGUAAUAAAAGGACAUUGCAACACAAUAAGAUAUUAAUCAUGGUUCAGCCCAUAUAGUUGCAUAUUACACCCUUGGAUAUCUCAAUGUUUGUGAAAGGUGGGUGCCAAAAGUUUUGAUAGAACAGCACUAGUGCAAUUAUUUGGAUGUCAGUUGUUAUAUUCAGAGCAAUAUCAUAAUGAAGGUGAACAUUUUUUUAAUUGCAUCAUCACUGGGGAUGAAACUUGGGUCCACUAUUACAACCCAGAAAGUAAACACCAGAGUAUGCAGUGGAAGCACCCAGCAUAUCCUUUAUCAAAGAGAUUUUGAAAACCAGUCAUCAGUUGGAAAGGUUAUGUUUACAGUGUUCUGGAAUUCCCAAGUUUAUGUCCUCAAACUUUAUCAAGAAAGUGAACCAUAGUAGCAAGUGUAAGAUAUUGUGACUUGCUGCACAAUAAACUGAAUCCAGUAAUUCACUAAACAUGGUGAGGAAGAUUGUUGCAGGAUGUUUUGUUGUAUGACAAUGCCCACACUCAUUCUGUUACCCUUACCAAGGAAACCCUCCAGGAACUGAAAUUUGAAGCUCUCAGCCACCCACCAUACAGUACAUACUUGCUGCUUCAUCUGUUUUGACCUUUGAAAGAGUCUUCAGGAUUAUGCAUUUGAUGUCAAAUUUAAGGAAGUGGUGCAAGACUGGCUACACACUCAACCAAAGAUAGUAUAAUACAACUUGUGGACUGCUGGACCAAGUGUACUGAGAAGCAGGAUGAUUAUAUAUAACUGUGAUAAAGCUGUAAACAUUCAGAACAAAUAAAUCAUAAAGAAAGAGAA